GGUUCAUUAGCUCAGUCGGUAGAGCACCUGACUUUUAAUCAGGGUGUCUGGGGUUCAAAUCCCCAAUGAGCCACCA
rnacentral:tRNA from 1 species